UCGCCACAAAGAAGCUUUUGUGAAACAGAAAGGUUCUUCAGAUGUUAAAGCUUCUUUAUGGAACCAUUUAGACAAAAAGGUUCUUCUAUGGCAUCACUGUGAAGCAGCUUUAUUUUUAAGAGUGUAUUACAGAUGAUAAAUGGUGCAUUAUUGUAAAACUGUCCCCUUAUACAGCCAGUAUUUCUGUUUUCUGGUCCCUCUGACUGGUUCUUGGUCCCUCUGUGUCUCCCCAUUUAAACCAAUAGACCGUAACCCUGUGUGACCUCAGCCCUGACCGAGCCUGCCAGGAUCCAAAAUGUGAGUCAAUAAAUAUCAUGGUAAAAUGACUUUUGCAAUAUUGACAAGUCUUCUAAAACAGUACAAAAGCUUUGUGUGAGGAACAAACUCAAAUGUAUGCCAUUAUUAAACUAACACCAAAAUUUAGAAGCAUAACUUUUGGAGAUUUUUUUUUAAACGAGAAAUUGAUAUUUGAUCUUUUUUUCUGCUCAAGUUCUUCAUGUUGAUUCAUGCAAAAGGGAGGAGCAUUUUCAUGACAGAACCAGAAAUAGAAGAAAAUCUGAUCAAACCUGAACUGCAGCUCGACUCCUGGUGAGUUUAUCAUUCCUGCAACAGCGUGUUUAAUGCAAACGUGUCAGAUUAUUAUUCUUAUAAACCAGGACACAUAUUUAUUGAGAUUGUAUUUGUUCUUUCAGAAGCAUGUUCAUGUGUUUGUGAUCUGAGAUGCAGUGAAGAUGGCAGCAGGGACUAAAACUCUUCCUGAUAUUUUCAUUUUUGACUCCAGUGAUGAUGUAGUGAUCCGGAUUCUUCUGCAGGGCAGAAACACUUCUGGGAAAAGCUCAUCUGGGAACACUAUACUGGGAGAAGAGAGGUUUAAAAGGCACAAGUCUGAGGUGUGUGAGGGUCAAGCUCAGAUCUGUGGGAAGCAGGUGGCCGUGAUUGAUUGUCCAGAUCUACUGGAUCCAGCUCUGAAUGAAGAGCAGCUGGAGAAGAUGAAAGAGCAGCUGGUCUCUGGAUGUUCAGCAGGUCUCAGUGCAGUUCUGCUC
rnacentral:lncRNA from 1 species